AGAGUUUGAUCAUGGCUCAGAACGAACGCUGGCGGCAUGCCUAACACAUGCAAGUCGGACGCUUUUGCGGUUUCGGCCGCAAGGGAGUGGCGGACGGGUGAGUAGCGCGUGGGAACCUGCCCUGUUGUGGGGGAUAACCGAGGGAAACUUCGGCUAAUACCGCAUGCGCCGGGAGCAAUCCCGGGAAAGAUUUAUCGCAG
rnacentral:rRNA from 1 species